GAUGAACGCUGGCGGCGUGCCUAAUACAUGCAAGUCGAGCGAACGGACGAGAAGCUUGCUUCUCUGAUGUUAGCGGCGGACGGGUGAGUAACACGUGGAUAACCUACCUAUAAGACUGGGAUAACUUCGGGAAACCGGGGCUAAUACCGGAUAAUAUUUUGAACCGCAUGGUUCAAAAGUGAAAGACGGUCUUGCUGUCACUUAUAGAUGGAUCCGCGCUGCAUUAGCUAGUUGGUAAGGUAACGGCUUACCAAGGCAACGAUGCAUAGCCGACCUGAGAGGGUGAUCGGCCACACUGGAACUGAGACACGGUCCAGACUCCUACGGGAGGCAGCAGUAGGGAAUCUUCCGCAAUGGGCGAAAGCCUGACGGAGCAACGCCGCGUGAGUGAUGAAGGUCUUCGGAUCGUAAAACUCUGUUAUUAGGGAAGAACAUAUGUGUAAGUAACUGUGCACAUCUUGGCGGUACCUAAUCAGAAAGCCACGGCUAACUACGUG
rnacentral:rRNA from 1 species